rnacentral:rRNA from 1 species
AAUUCGCCCUUAGAGUUUGAUCAUGGCUCAGAUUGAACGCUGGCGGCAUGCCUUACACAUGCAAGUCGAACGGUAACGCGGGGCAACCUGGCGACGAGUGGCGAACGGGUGAGUAAUAUAUCGGAACGUGCCCAGUCGUGGGGGAUAACUGCUCGAAAGAGCAGCUAAUACCGCAUACGACCUGAGGGUGAAAGCGGGGGAUCUUCGGACCUCGCGCGAUUGGAGCGGCCGAUAUCAGAUUAGGUAGUUGGUGGGGUAAAGGCCUACCAAGCCGACGAUCUGUAGCUGGUCUGAGAGGACGACCAGCCACACUGGGACUGAGACACGGCCCAGACUCCUACGGGAGGCAGCAGUGGGGAAUUUUGGACAAUGGGGGCAACCCUGAUCCAGCCAUGCCGCGUGCGGGAAGAAGGCCUUCGGGUUGUAAACCGCUUUUGUCAGGGAAGAAAUCCU